rnacentral:rRNA from 1 species
CCUACGGGUGGCACCAGUGGGGAAUAUUGCACAAUGGGCGCAAGCCUGAUGCAGCCAUGCCGCGUGUAUGAAGAAGGCCUUCGGGUUGUAAAGUACUUUCAGCGGGGAGGGAGGUGUUGUGGUUAAUAACCACAGCAAUUGACGUUACCUGCAGAAGAAGCACCGGCUAACUCCGUGCCAGCAGCCGCGGUAAUACGGGGGGUGCAAGCGUUAAUCGGAAUUACUGGGCGUAAAGCGCACGCAGGCGGUCUGUCAAGUCGGAUGUGAAGUCCCCGGGCUCAACCUGGGAACUGCAUUCGAAACUGGCAGGCUAGAGUCUUGUAGAGGGGGGUAGAAUUCCAGGUGUAGCGGUGAAAUGCGUAGAGAUCUGGAGGAAUACCGGUGGCGAAGGCGGCCCCCUGGACAAAGACUGACGCUCAGGUGCGAAAGCGUGGGGAGCAAACAGGAUUAGAUACCCGGGUAGUC